UGCAGCUGAAGUUUUCGUGGAUUACAGGAGCAAGUGUUGAUUACAUCUUCUGGAAGCCAUAAUUCGUUAGAAAAAUUACAUGACACUCAAGCUGCACUUCCUCCGCUAUCGAAGGCUAUUUGGGGACAAAGAAGUCACUUACAUUUCGCCUACAUAGCCGGUUUUAAAUGGCAUACUCGACUCAGAGCCGGACAAAACCAUUUCGUAUAUAGUAACUUGCCAUGUUGUAUAACUCGUAUGAAGACUGUCAUGAUCCUCCACGUCUGCACAAUGUUGACAAUUCUCUGAUUCAAAAGUUGGAUUUUUGAUUGCUCUGGACGGGCCAAAAAAGAAGAUAGAAGCGGCGUAUGCGGUGUGUUUUAUGACGGUUUGGAGAAUUCGGUUCGGGAGAAACGACAAAGUGUUUAAUAAUAUCUCUGUGGCUGCUCCAAAAAUGGUAGACGAUAUCAAGGAAGCUACUAUGUGGUGGGUGAUUAAAAGAUCCAAGGUGAAAGACUGAAAGGUAUAAACUAAGAGAACUUGUAAAAUUUUGCUAAGGUCAAUUUCGGAUAGGUGGGCUGUAGUGCUGGGGUUGUUUUUACUGUUUUGUUUACUAGGUCGGGUGUGUCAUGUUUGGUGGGGUUUUCUUUGUGGGUUGGACCUUGCAACAUAUGGGGUUUGUUUGUUUCUUUUUUCUUGUGAGGUAAGUUUAGCCUCUUGUUAAGCUGAUGUUUCCUUUGCUGUUUGGGGAGUGGUUUUAAUAAACGUUGA